AUGCCUGCAGGGGCAGCCAGCUGCUUCUCACGCUUAGUGAGUGACCAAUGGGCCACAGCUGGGCAACAUGCACCUUCCUUCCCUAUAUAUACCAGCUCUCACACAGCUGAAGUCAUGUAUUUGGGUAUAUCUUCAAGUCCCACCUCAUCCUUGUGGUGUACAGUGAUGAAAAUCUUCUGUGCUGCACAGCUUUUGUUACCUCCUGAGGCACAGCCUUUGCCUCACUGGUCCGUCUGUGAGGACACAAGAUGGGUGGCUCGUGCUCAUUCACAUGGGCUGAACAGCACACAGAAGCUGAUCUGAAAACUCUGGAAGCUGUUGUCAUGCAGGAGGUUUGCAAAGACGCUGGCUUUCCAAACUGCGGAAAUAGCUGAGAAGCAGCAGUACUCUGACAUCUGAAUUUUAAUACGCCAACUCCUUAGGAAGCUUAUCAGAAGGGUAGGGGGAAGUAUUUGUGCAAAAUGCUUUUAUUUGACUGUUUUCUCUCCAUUCAAGGAGAGUAGUUGCUCUAACAAUGGCAUGAAUCCAGUGUAUCGGUGAGUUGUAUCCCUUGAACUCCAACUUACAGAACAAAAGACUUCUAAGAAGCAUCCAUGCAGCAGAUGUUUAGUUAUCUGAAGUGUCAGAAUGCCAAUUAGAUAUUGAACAUGGCAGGAGGAGGGUGGAGUUUCCAAAACAAAUGAAUGAUGAAUAGGAACAGUUCCCGAGUUUGGUCUAAAGUCCUGCUGUUCUUUUGUAAAAUGAUUUGUGGCAAAUUUGUUUUGUCACUGAGGCAUAGUUCCCCUUCAGGAUUUAAGUGAUUUUUAUAAUCACUCCAAGGAAACUUUAAAAAAAUAAUAAUAAUAAUAAAAGAAAGAAUAUAAGGAUAAAAUACCCUAUU
rnacentral:lncRNA from 1 species